CCGGUAGAGUGGCGCACGGGUGAGUAACACGUAGGUUAUCUACCUCCGAGUGGGGAAUAACAUCGGGAAACCGAUGCUAAUACCGCAUAACACCGAAAGGUCAAAGCUUUAUGCGCUUGGAGAGGAGCCUGCGGCAGAUUAGCUAGUUGGUAAGGUAAUGGCUUACCAAGGCGACGAUCUGUAUCCGGUCUAAGAGGACGGUCGGACACACUGACACUGAAUAACGGGUCAG
rnacentral:rRNA from 1 species